rnacentral:rRNA from 2 species
CGUAUACUAAAUUCAUAGGUAUGCGAAGCAAACCUGGGGAACUGAAACAUCUAAGUACCCAGAGGAAAAGAAAUCAAUCGAGAUUCCGUUAGUAGCGGCGAGCGAACGUGGAAGAGCCCAGUUGCUAACUUACUAUUUUUUCUAGCAGAAUGUUCUGGAAAGUUCAGCCAUAGCGGGUGAUAGUCCCGUAUGUAAAAGAUGAAUUAGUAGGGGUGACAAUGAGUAGGUCGGGACACGUGUAAUCCUGACUGAAGAUGGGGGGACCAUCCUCCAAGGCUAAAUACUACUUACUGACCGAUAGUGAACUAGUACCGUGAGGGAAAGGUGAAAAGAACCCCGAUGAGGGGAGUGAAAUAGAACCUGAAACCGUAUGCGUACAAGCAGUCGGAG